UAGGGAAUAUUGGACAAUGGGGGCAACCCUGAUCCAGCCAUGCCGCGUGAGUGAAGAAGGCCCUCGGGUUGUAAAGCUCUUUUGUCCGGAAAGAAAAGCUUCGGGUUAAUACCCCGGGGUUCUGACGGUACCGGAAGAAUAAGCACCGGCUAACUUCGUGCCAGCAGCCGCGGUAAUACGAAGGGUGCAAGCGUUACUUGGAAUUACUGGGCGUAAAGCGUGCGUAGGUGGUUGUUUAAGUCUGAUGUGAAAGCCCUGGGCUCAACCUGGGAAUGGCAUUGGAAACUGGGCAGCUAGAGUGCGGUAGAGGGUAGUGGAAUUCCCGGUGUAGCAGUGAAAUGCGUAGAGAUCGGGAGGAACAUCUGUGGCGAAGGCGACUGCCUGGACCAGCACUGACACUGAGGCACGAAAGCGUGGGGAGCAAACA
rnacentral:rRNA from 1 species